GAUGAACGCUGGCGGCGUGCCUAAUACAUGCAAGUCGAGCGAACAGACGAGGAGCUUGCUCCUCUGACGUUAGCGGCGGACGGGUGAGUAACACGUGGAUAACCUACCUAUAAGACUGGGAUAACUUCGGGAAACCGGAGCUAAUACCGGAUAAUAUAUUGAACCGCAUGGUUCAAUAGUGAAAGACGGUUUUGCUGUCACUUAUAGAUGGAUCCGCGCCGCAUUAGCUAGUUGGUAAGGUAACGGCUUACCAAGGCAACGAUGCGUAGCCGACCUGAGAGGGUGAUAGGCCACCUUGGAACGGAGACACGGUCCAGACUACUACGGGAGGCAGCAGUAGGGAAUCUUCCGCAAUGGGCGAAAGCAUGACGGAGCAACGCCGCGUGAGUGAUGAAGGUCUUCGGAUCGUAAAAAUCUGUUAUUAGGGAAGAACAAAUGUGUAAGUAACUAUGCACGUCUUGACGGUACCUAAUCAGAAAGCCACGGCUAACUACGUG
rnacentral:rRNA from 1 species